CCGUCUUCUUUAAUAAUAAUUAUUCCAAAAUAUUCCAAUGUUCUUCAGUUUACUUGACGAGGCUUAAUUAUCUAGCCUUUUAAUUAUAUACUUCAGCCUUUGUUGGCUUAUGAAGUAUUUUAGCCUAAAUGGCUCUUCUCACUUCACUCUUCGCUCUCUCCCGACUCUCAGGUUGUGCUCAGUUUUUAUAAUAAAUUUUAGAGGAAGAAAUCUGUAACUAUGACUAAUUUCCUCUACGCAAUAUGUUUGUCAAAGCAAGUUCUAGCAGUGUUUAUCAACCACAAAACUAUGUCCUGUUUGCGUGGUUUGUGGUACUAGGCGUUUCCCGUGGUUCUUUAAUCUCUCUAAAUAUU